rnacentral:rRNA from 1 species
AACGAACGCUGGCGGCAGGCCUAACACAUGCAAGUCGAACGCUCCGCAAGGGGAGUGGCGCACGGGUGAGUAACACGUGGGAACCUACCUUCUGGUACGGAACAACCAAGGGAAACUCUGGCUGAUACCGUAUACGACCUCCGGGUGAAAGAUUGAUCGCCGGAAGAGGGGCCCGCGUCCGAUUAGGUAGUUGGUGAGGUAACGGCUCACCAAGCCUGCGAUCGGUAGCUGGUCUGAGAGGANGACCAGCCACACUGGGACUGAGACACGGCCCAGACUCCUACGGGAGGGCAGCAGUGGGGAAUAUUGGACAAUGGGCGCAAGCCUGAUCCAGCCAUGCCGCGUGAGUGAUGAAGGCCUUCGGUUG